GAUAAAUCCUCCUGGCUGUCUAAUGAAGAAAACAGUGCUUCACUAAUAUUUGCCAAGUCCACCUGGGAGUCAUCAGUAUGCAGCUGUGUCCUCCAUCCUCUCCCUUCAAGCUGGGAUUUAACUACUGCCUUUUCUGCUUUCUACAAACGUUGAUUUUCACUUGUCCAUCGGAUGAAUAUUAACUGGCAGCUGGAAAGCUGCUCCUGGUACACCUGAGCUACUGCCCUGGCUCCCACUUUGCUCAACUGAUGUGUUAUAGGUUUUAAUAAAUGCAAACAGAAAAGAAGGAGGCAACAUGUUUGAACAACCAGUGGUUAUCUUGGAAAUGCUGGGAUGGAUGCCUCUUCUUGCAGGGCAUAGAUUUGGGCAAAAUAUUAAAAAAUUAUUAAGCUGUGUUCUCUGCAUGUUAGAAUAUGCCGAUAUACAUUUUGUAAAUAUAGGUCACCAUUGUUAUUUGAUAUUUACUUUGUAAUGCAGUGGAUCUCCUUAUGUACAAGGUAGUGACAUCAGAAGACAUUUUGAGUCUAAAGGGCAAUAUGUCUGGAAUAAAUAAUAUUUCUUAUUCCAGGAAAUUAUCUUGACAUGAUGCUCUAUGUCACCCAGUCCCUUUUCUGUCAUAUUUCUCUCAUUAACCCUCUUGAGCUGUCCAGCAAUGAUGAGCUUUUUCCAGUAAUAAGAAAUAUGAAUUUGUAUUACCACUGUAUGUGCCUACACUCUGCAGAGAUCCUCUGUAGUUCGUGGCCUCAAUAGAGCAGCACUGUUUUAUCUCUAAAUGUAACAUUUUGUCCAUUUUUCACACAUUGCAUUUUACUUUUCUGCUGCAAGAAGGAUCAAAUGAAAACAACGGAUUUGCUUUCAGAUAUAUGUCCCUGUUUAAAUCAGUUACUCAGGUGAGUAGUGACUUCAGGUACCUUUGUGCCUCUAAACAUUUUUAUGACAAGGUCUGGAUCCCUUCAAUUUCUU
rnacentral:lncRNA from 7 species